ACCAAACUAGCGGCCUCGAACAGCAAUAAUCGAUGCAAAAAUCAGGCGUGAUGCCAUCCAAUCGGACGGCCCGAGCGCGUCGCUGCGGUGCGUCCCUCCUCUUUCUCCCUUCACCUCACCUCUCCGUCUCUUGCUCGCACCCCUUGUUCCCUUGCGGCGACGAUUGGGAGAGCCGCCGCCCUUCGCCAGCGACAAACACCCACCAGGGUUCUCAUUCAUGGCCUCCCAUUUCCUUUAAGGGAAUGGAAUUCAAAUUGAACAUAGAACAGCAACAUAUGAACUGAUUCAGAAGCACAAAACCCAUAAUAAUGCAGUGGGAUGAAAGGGGAAAACUACCUGCAGAAAACCACAGGUUAGUACCUCUUCAUCAAAGGAACAAAUACACAUCACAGAACUUUACACUGUCAGCAUUAGUCUGAACUCUGAAAUAGAUAGAUAUUGAAGUUAUGAACUGAGUAGCAUGUCUUGUUACCACCUUUUGGACUUGUAGUGAAGAUUAUACCCUAAUUAUGCUCUGCAAUCCUUACAUUCGAAGGCUUUCGAGAAAGUUCCUGUGCUUGUUGUCCAUAUUAGCUGUGAGAUGGUCAAGGAAGUCACUGAAGCUGCUCUCUUUGUACUUUGGUGGAUUUUCUUCGUCCACUAGCUCCUUGGCACAGGACUUCCAUGUGGUCACCAAUCUGAACAUGCAAAGCGUGUGGAAGUUGCUGAACCCUUGUCCAGAUGUUGCUGCUGGGGUCAACAACUUCAAGGCCCCCACAACUUGUGAGCAAGAUGGUAAGAAAUCCAUAAUCAGAAUGUGGAGCCAGCCCUAUAGUCGUGGCACUUUGUGAUGCUUUAGCGUAGCAGUUCACUGACAAUAGUUGGGAGCCUUCAUGAAAUUUCUCAUUCAGGUAUUCCUUGCCCAAUCCUAGGCCUUCUACUAUUGCUUCCAUCAGUUGCAAAGCCACCAUCCUUACUUCAGAAGCAUACUUUCCCAUGUAUUUCCUGGUUUCAGUAAGCGAAAAUGGGUCAUAUCAAUUCUUAGAAACAUGUUCUGCUCAUUUUGUAGUUCUGGUUUGUAAAACGAUUUUUUUAUAUAAAAAAACUGUUUACCUGUAGAUUGGUGGUUGUUGUGGCCAAUAUUGAAUCCAUUCGCUGAGUGGAUGGGCAUAAUGCUUUAGGAAUGCCCUGGACAUGCUAAUGCUAUCUUUUGAGCUUGUAUCAUAUCUAACAGGUCGUCGAAGGUCCUCCGAUGCAAACUUUUCCUUUGUCUCAUUUGGUAGUUUGAAGAAAUCUGAAGCUGCUUCAAGAGCACAAUCCAUGACAGAUUGACUGAUCCCAUGGUUUAUAACCUGCGAAAUGGAGCAAUCAUCAGAUAUUAGGAAAGGGAAGUAAGCUAUCUUUGUUCCCUUAUAGUGAGGAUCUGGCAGUGGUUUAUGAAGAGGCAAUAGAUCAAGAUCUCUUCUGAAAACAAAAUUUGGCAUCACACCCUAAAAACUGACCACGACAGAUGGGACAUCUUACAAUCUGCCAUCCAAAGUUCUAAAAUGACCUUCCCUGGAGUUCGUAAUGGAAAUUCUAGCCAUUUUGAUGAAAACUGAAGGGCAAGAUAGGAAUUGGAGUUCUUGUCAACCUAGAGCUGGUCCUCCUCACUUCCAGUACUUUCACUUCAGUAAAAUUAACUAGCUGGUUCACCCGGUCAAUUGUCAAAGGCUCUACAUAUACUCCAAAUCUCGCACAACUUAAAGCAUCGGACUCUUAAUUUUUGGAGCAAAAAGUGCGAAUGUAGUUCAUGAAACAAUGCAGUUGACAAGAGACAAUGUUUGUAUCAUAAUCAUCUGGAUGUAUUAAUAGUGAGAUGAUAUCAGAGCUAGCUGCUGGGUUCAAAAGAAGGUCUGAUGUCAGAGCUUCUUAAGCUGUUUAUCUUCUGUAGAAUUGCUUCAAGAUUAUGUUAGUUUGUCAGUUUUUGCCUUGUACAAGUGACAAGUCAGCUUCCUCGGUACACUCCAGCAGAGGUCACAGGUGGCAAUAUUAAUAAUCAGUCUCAGACAAAGGAAAAGGUCAAGGCAAAGACAAGGA